AUACCGUGAUGAGGACAUUUUCUCAGUAGCUCCUUAAACCUUUCCUAUGAGUCAUAUAAAGAUCCCUCAUCCAUCUGAUAAAAAUUAUUAAUUUCCUCCCUCAGUUU